GCCGGUGCUGAUGGCUGUGAGGUUCCACCUGUUCCCAUUCCGAACACAGAAGUUAAGCUCACAUACGCCGAAAAUACUUCCUUGGUGACGAGGCGGGAAGAUAGGUAAGCGCCGACU
rnacentral:rRNA from 1 species